GGGGCCUUAGCUCAGCUGGGAGAGCGCAUCGCUGGCAGCGAUGAGGUCAGGGGUUCGAUCCCCCUAGGUUCCA
rfam:Paenibacillus sp. TI45-13ar contig00032, whole genome shotgun sequence.